rnacentral:rRNA from 1 species
AUUGAACGCUGGCGGCAGGCCUAACACAUGCAAGUCGAACGAGUGGCGGACGGGUGUGUAAUGUCGGGGACACUGCCUGAUGGAGGGGGAUAACUACGGGACACGGUAGCUAAUACCGCAUACCAUCAGAUGUGCCCAGAGGGGAUUAGCGAGUUGGUGGGGUAACGGCUCGCCGAGGCGACGACCCCUAGCUGGUCUGAGAGGAUCACCGGCCAAACGGGAACGGAGACACGGUCCAGACGCCGACGGGAGGCAGCAGUGGGAAAUAUGGAAAAAUGGGCGCAAGCCUGAUGCAGCCAGGCGGGGGGUGGGAAGGAGGCCUUGGGGUUGUAAAGCAUUUUCAGCGGGGAGGCGUUACCCGCAGAAGAAGCACCGGAUAACUCCGUGCCAGCAGCCGCGGUAAUAC